GGCGGCGUGCCUAACACAUGCAAGUCGAACGAGAAAGUGGAGCAAUCCAUGAGUAAAGUGGCGACCGGGUGAGUAACACGUGACUAACCUACCCUCGAGUGUGGAAUAACAUCGGGAAACCGAUGCUAAUACCGCAUAACAUCGCAAGAUCAAAGGAGCAAUCCGCUUGAGGAGGGGGUCGCGGCUGAUUAGCUAGUUGGCGGGGUAACGGCCCACCAAGGCGAAGAUCGGUAGCCGGCCUGAGAGGGCGCACGGCCACACUGGAACUGAAACACGGUCCAGACUCCUACGGGAGGCAGCAGUGGGGAAUUUUGCGCAAUGGGGGAAACCCUGACGCAGCAACGCCGCGUGGAGGAUGAAGCCCCUUGGGGCGUAAACUCCUUUCGACCAAGACGAUAAUGACGGUACUGGUGGAAGAAGCACCGGCCAACUCUGUGCCAGCAGCCGCGGUAAUACAGANGGUGCAAGCGUUGUUCGGAAUUAUUGGGCGUAAAGGGCGCGUANGCGGCGCGACAAGUCACCUGUGAAAUCUCCGAGCUUAACUCGGAGCCUGCAGGCGAAACUGUCGUGCUGGAGUAUGGGA
rnacentral:rRNA from 1 species